rnacentral:rRNA from 1 species
UGGGGAAUUUUGGACAAUGGGGGCAACCCUGAUCCAGCCAUGCCGCGUGCGGGAAGAAGGCCUUCGGGUUGUAAACCGCUUUUAGCCGGGAAGAAAAGGCAGAGGCUAAUACCUUCUGUUUUUGACGGUACCGGCGGAAUAAGCACCGGCUAACUACGUGCCAGCAGCCGCGGUAAUACGUAGGGUGCGAGCGUUAAUCGGAAUUACUGGGCGUAAAGCGUGCGCAGGCGGUUCGUUGUGUCGGCGGUGAAAGCCCCGGGCUUAACCUGGGAAUGGCCGUUGAAACUGGCGAACUGGAGUGUGGCAGAGGGGGGUGGAAUUCCGCGUGUAGCAGUGAAAUGCGUAGAGAUGCGGAGGAACACCGAUGGCGAAGGCAGCCCCUGGGCUUAACACUGACGCUCAGGCACGAAAGCGUGGGGAGCAAACA